rnacentral:rRNA from 1 species
UACGAAGGGGGCUAGCGUUGUUCGGAAUUACUGGGCGUAAAGCACACGUAGGCGGACGAUUAAGUCAGGGGUGAAAUCCCGGGGCUCAACCCCGGAGCUGCCUUUGAUACUGGUUGUCUGGAGUAUGGAAGAGGUGAGUGGAAUUCCGAGUGUAGAGGUGAAAUUCGUAGAUAUUCGGAGGAACACCAGUGGCGAAGGCGGCUCACUGGUCCAUUACUGACGCUGAGGUGCGAAAGCGUGGGGAGCAAACAGG